CAACCCUCAAGCUCUGCUUGGUGUUGGGGCCCUACGGUUAAACGUAGGCCCUUAAAGGUAGUGGCGGACCCUCUCGGAGCCUCCUUUGCGUAGUAACUAACGUCUCGCACUGGGAUUCGGAGGGAUUCUAGCCGUAAAACCCCCAAUUUUUUAA
rnacentral:misc_RNA from 1 species